UUUGAUAGCUGCUUUCAACUACCUGAAGGGGGGUUCCAAAGAGGAUGGAGCUUGGCUGUUCUCAGUGGUGGCAGAUGACAGAACAAGGAGCAAUGGUCUCAAGUUGCAGUGGGGAGGUUUAGGUUGGAUAUUAGGAGAAACUUUUUCACUAGGAGUGUGGUGAAGCACUGGAAUGGGUUCCCUAGGGAGGUGGUGGAAUCUCCUUCCUUAGAGGUUUUUAAGGUCAGGCUUGACAAAGCCCCGGCUGGGAUGAUUUAGUCAGGGAUUAGCCCUGCUUUGAGCAGGGGGUUGGACUAGAUACCUCCUGAGGGCCCUUCCACCCCUGAUAUCC